rnacentral:lncRNA from 1 species
UCCCCUUCACCGUCUUCCUGCGGAACGGGCUCGGGAACAAUGUCUUCCUGAUCUGAAAUGGUUAAAUAAGGAAUGAGCUACACCAGCCCAGUAAAGACAUCACACUAUCUCACCGCCACGAAGGUAAAGGUGGGUAGAAAACACAAAAAGACCAAUGGAGCAUAAUUUAUAACAAAUUCUUUUAUCAAUAAUAAAAUCCUUUACUGUCCACUUAUCUCGGUGAAGUUCAUAAUACAACAUACGAAAGCAAUAACAUUAUCAUCAUCAUGAAAUCAUAUAAACUGUAUAACAAAAUACUUACUACGCCUUUGCAUUUCAAUCAUUACACAACAUAUUUUUCCUCAUUUACCAGCCUACUAGUAUCCAUGGGGAUCCAUAGGGGUCCCGCUACCCGUGAACCCUUAACACUUGUAAUCAGAUUCCAGGGCCGUCCCCAUACCCCGUCCGGUAUGGGCGCCAAAACCAUAAACCUCAAUACCCCGUCCGGUAUGAGGGUGAAACGGGCCGUCCCCAUACCCCGUCUGGUAUGGGCGCCAAAACACAUAAGGUCUCCAUACCCCAUCCGGUAUUAGAGACCACAAUCCCGGUAGGGUUCCCUACGGACUCGGUCCGUCCACCAUCUCCCAGGAUAUCUAGUCAGGCUGACUACAUUAUCCAAUUAUCAAUUUACGUAACCUUUUAUUCCCUUUCUCCUCAGUCAGCAUCAUCAAAUCACACACAAACAGGCAAACCUGUAAUUUAUGCCAAACAAGACAACACACAACAUCAGGUUCUCAGUCAUUCAACCCAUAAUCAAUAAAACAGUGAAAUAUGCACAUGAAACUAUGAAAUGAAAACAUCAGAUCUCAUACUGCAUUUAAAACUGUAAAAUAGGACAAACAAUAGCUGACUGACAAACACACCAGACUCGGACUCUAUUAGCGACCUUAAACAAUUUCACACAUCUAUUGAUUCAUGAAAUAUCGUUUUAUCAUUUAUUGAACUUUAAUACCGUGAUAGGAAAUAGGGUGAGGGGUCCUUACUUAUUUCGGGGUCUAAAUACGGCUCUACAGUGCGCCUACAGGCUGUCCUUAAUUUUUUCUGAAUUUUUCCCGGGGAAC